GAACGCUAGCUACAGGCUUAACACAUGCAAGUCGAGGGGCAUCAGGAAGAAAGCUUGCUUUCUUUGCUGGCGACCGGCGCACGGGUGAGUAACACGUAUCCAACCUGCCCUUUACUCGGGGAUAGCCUUUCGAAAGAAAGAUUAAUACCCGAUAGCAUAAUGAUUCCGCAUGGUUUCAUUAUUAAAGGAUUCCGGUAAAGGAUGGGGAUGCGUUCCAUUAGGUUGUUGGUGAGGUAACGGCCCACCAAGCCUUCGAUGGAUAGGGGUUCUGAGAGGAAGGUCCCCCACAUUGGAACUGAGACACGGUCCAAACUCCUACGGGAGGCAGCAGUGAGGAGUAUUGGUCAAUGGGCGCGAGCCUGAACCAGCCAAGUAGCGUGAAGGAUGACUGCCCUAUGGGUUGUAAACUUCUUUUAUAUUAGAAUAAAGUGCAGUAUGUAUACUGUUUUGUAUGUAUAAUAUGAAUAAGGAUCGGCUAACUCCGUGCCAGCAGCCGCGGUAAUACGGAGGAUCCGAGCGUUAUCCGGAUUUAUUGGGUUUAAAGGGAGCGUAGGUGGACUGGUAAGUCAGUUGUGAAAGUUUGCGGCUCAACCGUAAAAUUGCAGUUGAUACUGUCAGUCUUGAGUACAGUAGAGGUGGGCGGAAUUCGUGGUGUAGCGGUGAAAUGCUUAGAUAUCACGAAGAACUCCGAUUGCGAAGGCAGCUCACUGGACUGCAACUGACACUGAUGCUCGAAAGUGUGGGUAUCAAACAGGAUUAGAUACCCUGGUAGUCCGCACAGUAAACGAUGAAUACUCGCUGUUUGCGAUAUACAGUAAGCGGCCAAGCGAAAGCAUUAAGUAUUCCACCUGGGGAGUACGCCGGCAACGGUGAAACUCAAAGGAAUUGACGGGGGCCCGCACAAGCGGAGGAACAUGUGGUUUAAUUCGAUGAUACGCGAGGAACCUUACCCGGGCUUAAAUUGCAGUGGAAUGAUGUGGAAACAUGUCAGUGAGCAAUCACCGCUGUGAAGGUGCUGCAUGGUUGUCGUCAGCUCGUGCCGUGAGGUGUCGGCUUAAGUGCCAUAACGAGCGCAACCCUUAUCUUCAGUUACUAACAGGUUAUGCUGAGGACUCUGGAGAGACUGCCGUCGUAAGAUGUGAGGAAGGUGGGGAUGACGUCAAAUCAGCACGGCCCUUACGUCCGGGGCUACACACGUGUUACAAUGGGGGGUACAGAAGGCAGCUACCUGGUGACAGGAUGCUAAUCCCAAAAGCCUCUCUCAGUUCGGAUCGAAGUCUGCAACCCGACUUCGUGAAGCUGGAUUCGCUAGUAAUCGCGCAUCAGCCACGGCGCGGUGAAUACGUUCCCGGGCCUUGUACACACCGCCCGUCAAGCCAUGGGAGCCGGGGGUACCUGAAGUACGUAACCGCAAGGAUCGUCCUAGGGUAAAACUGGUGAC
rnacentral:rRNA from 1 species